AUAGCCGUUAGCGUCAGCGGCCAAGUGACGUGGACGUAGUCAGUCUCUCUUGCCAAAUGACUCAGUAGCGAUAUAAAAUCGAGCCGGCAAUCUAAACAUCGCACAUUUCGCAUCAAACCACCGCGCUACACGUUGCUAUUUAAAUUAAUAUAUAUUUCUAAUGUUUGUAAACGGUACCGAGAACAUAACGUCUCGAUUGGGAAAUAUUCAUUUGAGUGUUCAAAGUAAUAUGCAGCCGAAAGCCGACAGACCGCCGAUGUGCCCUAAGGGGCAACUGCCACAACUCCACCUGACGCCGUCGGGCGGACAGAAAAAAGGCGACACAGGAUCACCGCAACUAGGGGCUGGCAACCCGAGCCUAUUGAAGCCUCAACACGACAUCCCACCCACACCGCCGCCUCAAACCAAGCCGCAGCCCCCCGAGUUUUUCCCACAAAGAAUAGGAUAGCCAACCGGCAUCAAUCACUAGAAUAAAAUAUUGUUAUAAAUGGCAACUUGCCAUUUUGUUGGAACACGGGCUUUUCGGAGUCGUAUAAAAAUACGCCUCGUUAUAUUAUAAGCUUCGUAGACGUCGGAGACGUUUGAGGGAAUUCAGCCGCAAUGGGUUAGUGCGUCAGUGGAUGGUGUUUUGGUAACGAUAAGUAUUUGAGACUGUUGUGUCCACGUGUGAUCAGUAACGUGCCGGAUGAAUGCAAUUUAUUAGUAGUGUUAUUAGGAAAUAUUGAAUAUAUUAUUCCUAUGGUUAUUUAAAUGUGUUUCGUGGAUUCCUAGUUAUGAACGUACCUUGAUGAUAAGUACAAGUCAAAUAAAUGUCUAAAUGGGAGAAUCAUUAACAAUUCCUACUAGUAGAGUCAUGGCAGCUUAUUUUUAGUAUUUUUAAAUAAUGAUUUAGAAUAAAACAAUUUACUAAAUGAUCGCAAAUUGCAUUUGUUUUCAAUAAAGAUGUCAAUAUGCAUGUAAUGUGCCAAAUUUGUAACUAUACAUUAAUUUCAGAUAUACUCAUUGUCAAUUACUAACCAUAAAAAUAUUUAAUCAAUGCAAAUUUAAACCUUAUUGUAACCACUGUAAAUAUAAAUACAAGUAAAUGUUUUGCGAAAAAGAAAAUUAUUUCUAUACUGCCUGCAAUAUCGCUAAGCGCUACGGCCAAUAAGAAGCCUUACGAUGUACUGUGAGCCAGUAUUAUACACCUACAUAUUAUACUUAAGAAAUGUCAUGCAAAGAAUUUGUAAAUAGCAAAACGAACGGGGGUUGGGUCAGUCACUUUUACCCUAAUUUUCGUCUUACCACGCAUGUGUAACCGUCAUUAUACUCAGCACGUGUUUAUUUAUUUAAAUGGUUAAACCUAAUUAGAUAUUAUAUCUUAUGAAUUUUGAUAGUGUGAUCCAAAAAGAAACGAUAAAACAAAUGAUAACAGUUUAACUAACUUUUAAAUAACUUAAUAUUAUACUGGAUGCAUUAUCAUUAUCUUUUGUUAGUUAUCAUUGAAUAUAUCCUGAUAUAUUAAGGUGAAUAAUAUAAAAAAAUACGAAGCGGCUGUAAA